rnacentral:rRNA from 1 species
UACGGAGGGUGCAAGCGUUGUCCGGAUUUAUUGGGUUUAAAGGGUGCGUAGGUGGUUUAGUAAGUCUGGUUUGAAAGCUGGUCGCUUAACGAUCAGAUGUGGCUGGAAACUGCUGGACUUGAAUGCGGUGGCGGUAGCUGGAACGGGUCAUGUAGCGGUGAAAUGCAUAGAUAUGACCCAGAACCCCGAUUGCGAAGGCAGGCUACUACGCCGUGAUUGACACUGAGGCACGAGAGCAUGGGUAGCGAACAGG